UACGUAGGCAGCAAGCGUUGUUCGGAGUUACUGGGCGUAAAGGGUGCGCAGGCGGUGGCCCGCGUGGGCGGUGAAAGCUCCUGGCUCAACUGGGAGAGGGCCGUCCAGACGGGGUCACUUGAGAGGCGGAGAGGGGCGUGGAAUUCCGGGUGUAGUGGUGGAAUGCGUAGAGAUCCGGAGGAACACCAGUGGCGAAGGCGGCUGCCUGGGCCUGGCCUGACGCUGAGGCGCGAAAGCGUGGGGAGCAAUCCGG
rnacentral:rRNA from 1 species